rnacentral:rRNA from 1 species
AUUGAACGCUGGCGGCAUGCCUUACACAUGCAAGUCGAACGGCAGCACGGGGCAACCUGGUGGCGAGUGGCGAACGGGUGAGUAAUGCAUCGGAACGUACCUUUCAGUGGGGGAUAACGUAGCGAAAGUUACGCUAAUACCGCAAAUUCUGUGAGCAGGAAAGCAGGGGAUCGCAAGACCUUGCGCUGAUUGAGCGGCCGAUGUCAGAGUAGCUAGUUGGUGAGGUAAAGGCUCACCAAGGCGACGAGCUGUAGCGGGUCUAAGAGGAGGAUCCGCCGCACUGGAACGGAGACACGGUCCGGCAGCCUACGGGAGGCGGCAGUGGGGAAGUUUGGCCAAGGGGGGCAACCCUGGUCCAGCCAUGCCGCGUGAGGGAAGAAGGCCUUCGGGUUGUAAAGCUCUUUCGGCCGGGAAGAAAUCGCACGGGCUAAUACCCUGUGUGGAUGACGGUACCGGAAUAAGAAGCACCGGCUAACUACGUGCCAGCCGCCGCCGUAAUAC